UCCAAAGUCAUCCCGUAUCACCACCCCACAGUUACUCACUGUCACAGCACAGCCUGUUUUCCUGGAUGAACACGUGUUCGUUAACAUGUCCCCCUAACUCUUCGGAGGGUUAAGGCAACUCCAGGGUUUGCAGCCUGGUCAGCAGUGAGGAUGGGGUGCGACUGCUGGAGGCUGAAAUUGGGGACAGAGGGGCCUCCGGCUCACUCUCCUGCACAGACGGGAGAUGGGUCUGUGACACCCUCCCAGCGGUGAGUCCCAGCUGUGGACAAAGGUCGCCUGCGGCUGUCAUCAUCCAGUGACCUCACCAGCACUCCUGUGAUCGUGCCCUUUGCUCAGUGACUCACCUGUUGUUACCCUGAGCUAUGGUAUAUGACUUUUAUUGUU